AGUGAACGCUGGCGGCGUGCUUAACACAUGCAAGUCGAGCGAAGCCUUCGGGCUUAGCGGCGGACGGGUGAGUAACGCGUGGGAACGUGCCCUUUGGUACGGAAUAGCCCCGGGAAACUGGGAGUAAUACCGUAUGUGGUCGAGAGACGAAAGAUUUAUCGCCAAAGGAUCGGCCCGCGUUGGAUUAGGUAGUUGGUGGGGUAAUGGCCUACCAAGCCGACGAUCCAUAGCUGGUUUGAGAGGAUGAUCAGCCACACUGGGACUGAGACACGGCCCAGACUCCUACGGGAGGCAGCAGUGGGGAAUCUUAGACAAUGGGGGAAACCCUGAUCUAGCCAUGCCGCGUGAUCGAUGAAGGCCUUAGGGUUGUAAAGAUCUUUCAGUGGGGAAGAUAAUGACUGUACCCACAGAAGAAGCCCCGGCUAACUCCGUGCCAGCCGCCGCAGUAAUAC
rnacentral:rRNA from 1 species